GAUGAACGCUGGCGGCGUGCCUAAUACAUGCAAGUCGAGCGAACAGAUGAGGAGCUUGCUCCUCUGACGUUAGCGGCGGACGGGUGAGUAACACGUGGAUAACCUACCUAUAAGACUGGGAUAACUUCGGGAAACCGGAGCUAAUACCGGAUAAUAUAUUGAACCGCAUGGUUCAAUAGUGAAAGACGGUUUUGCUGUCACUUAUAGAUGGAUCCGCGCCGCAUUAGCUAGUUGGUAAGGUAACGGCUUACCAAGGCAACGAUGCGUAGCCGACCUGAGAGGGUGAUAGGCCACACUGGAACUGAGACACGGUCCAGACUCCUACGGGAGGCAGCAGUAGGGAAUCUUCCGCAAUGGGCGAAAGCCUGACGGAGCAACGCCGCGUGAGUGAUGAAGGUCUUCGGAUCGUAAAACUCUGUUAUUAGGGAAGAACAAAUGUGUAAGUAACUAUGCACGUCUUGACGGUAUCUAAUCAGAAAGCCACGGCUAACUACGUG
rnacentral:rRNA from 1 species